AGCAGGGAACCUCAGGCCAUCAGCUCCACACCGUAGACGAGCACCUACUACACCUGUUCAACAGAACAAGAUAGCCAGGCCAAUGACUCAAGCUCCCCCUCAGGUUCCAGUAGCAGGACGCGAUAAGAUCUGUCAGCAUUACGGCAAGGAUCACAGGGACUGACCCUACUAUCGCCUCAACAACACCUACCGCAUAUGUGGUAGCGCCCAACAUUAUGCAAGGGAGUGCCCGAAAAACCAGAAUCAGGCCAGACCUCCUAUCUAGGGCAUGGCUUACAAUCUCACUCAGUAGGAUGCAGAAGCCAACCCGGACGUGGUAUAGGACAAACCUAAGAAAUAAAUUUAUAUUCAAGAGAUUCCAGUAGUAUGAGACUUUUCAGAUGUAUUUCUAGAUGAACUACCUGAAUUGCUGGUGGACAGAGAAGUCAAAUUCACCAUAGACC
rnacentral:lncRNA from 1 species